GACGAACGCUGGCGGCGUGCCUAAUACAUGCAAGUCGAGCGGACUUUCAAGAAGCUUGCUUUUUGAAAGUUAGCGGCGGACGGGUGAGUAACACGUGGGCAACCUGCCUGCAAGACGGGGAUAACUCCGGGAAACCGGGGCUAAUACCGGAUAAUAUCUUCCUUCGCAUGAAGGAAGGUUGAAAGGCGGCGCAAGCUGCCGCUUGCAGAUGGGCCCGCGGCGCAUUAGCUAGUUGGUGAGGUAACGGCUCACCAAGGCGACGAUGCGUAGCCGACCUGAGAGGGUGAUCGGCCACACUGGGACGGAGACACGGCCCAGACUCCUACGGGAGGCAGCAGUAGUGAAUCUUCCGCAAUGGACGAAAGUCUGACGGAGCAACGCCGCGUGAGCGAAGAAGGUCUUCGGAUCGUAAAGCUCUGUUGUCAGGGAAGAACAAGUACCGUUCGAACAGGGCGGUACCUUGACGGUACCUGACCAGAAAGCCACGGCUAACUACGUG
rnacentral:rRNA from 1 species